rnacentral:rRNA from 1 species
CCUACGGGUGACAGCAGUGAGGAAUAUUGGUCAAUGGACGCAAGUCUGAACCAGCCAUGCCGCGUGCAGGAAGACGGCUCUAUGAGUUGUAAACUGCUUUUGUACGAGGGUAAACGCAGCUACGUGUAUCUGUCUGACAGUAUCGUACGAAUAAGGAUCGGCUAACUCCGUGCCAGCAGCCGCGGUAAUACGGAGGAUUCAAGCGUUAUCCGGAUUUAUUGGGUUUAAAGGGUGCGUAGGCGGUCGGAUAAGUUAGAGGUGAAAUCCCGAAGCUCAACUUCGGAAUUGCCUUUGAAACUGUUCGGCUAGAGAGAGGGUGCGGUAUGCGGAAUGUAUGGUGUAGCGGUGAAAUGCUUAGAGAUCAUACAGAACACCGAUUGCGAAGGCAGCUUACCAAACCACGUCUGACGUUGAGGCACGAAAGCGUGGGGAGCAAACAGGAUUAGAUACCCGAGUAGUC